rnacentral:rRNA from 1 species
CCUAUCCCCCUGUGUGCCCUUGCCUCCCCACGACUUAUCUAAUCCUGUUCGCUCCCCACGCUUUCGAGCGCAGGCGGUUUGAUAAGUCUGAAGUUAAAGGCUGUGGCUCAACCAUAGUUCGCUUUGGAAACUGUCAAACUUGAGUGCAGAAGGGGAGAGUGGAAUUCCAUGUGUAGCGGUGAAAUGCGUAGAUAUAUGGAGGAACACCGGUGGCGAAAGCGGCUCUCUGGUCUGUAACUGACGCUGAGGCUCGAAAGCGUGGGGAGCGAACAGGAUUUAGAUA